rnacentral:rRNA from 1 species
GUCGACCGCCUGGGGAGUACGGCCGCAAGGUUAAAACUCAAAUGAAUUGACGGGGGCCCGCACAAGCGGUGGAGCAUGUGGUUUAAUUCGAUGCAACGCGAAGAACCUUACCUACUCUUGACAUCCACGGAAUUUAGCAGAGAUGCUUUAGUGCCUUCGGGAACCGUGAGACAGGUGCUGCAUGGCUGUCGUCAGCUCGUGUUGUGAAAUGUUGGGUUAAGUCCCGCAACGAGCGCAACCCUUAUCCUUUGUUGCCAGCGGUUCGGCCGGGAACUCAAAGGAGACUGCCAGUGAUAAACUGGAGGAAGGUGGGGAUGACGUCAAGUCAUCAUGGCCCUUACGAGUAGGGCUACACACGUGCUACAAUGGCAUAUACAAAGAGAAGCGACCUCGCGAGAGCAAGCGGACCUCAUAAAGUAUGUCGUAGUCCGGAUUGGAGUCUGCAACUCGACUCCAUGAAGUCGGAAUCGCUAGUAAUCGUGGAUCAGAAUGCCACGGUGAAUACGUUCCCGGGCCUUGUACACACCGCCCGUCACACCAUGGGAGUGGGUUGCAAAAGAAGUAGGUAGCUUAACCUUCGGGAGGGCGCUUACCACUUUGUGAUUCAUGACUGGGGUGAAGUCGUAACAAGGUAACCGUAGGGGAACCUGCGGUUGGAUCACCUCCUUACCUUAAAGAA